rnacentral:misc_RNA from 1 species
UUCCCCCCCCCCCCUCCAACCCUGUAGGGAAAACGGAAGUCGGAACACGUACACGACGAGCCAAUAAAUCUCGGUAACGGAACGAGAGGUCCCGUUCGCAAAACACGGGACGAAAUUAACCCGCGAUUUCCCGCUACGUAAAUCAAAGCGGCGACGAGCACGAAGGGAGCCCCGAAGGCGCGUAAAACCAAGCGGAGUUUUCCGGAAGAAGUUGGAGAACCGUUUCGAGACUCGUUGCCAGGCCCGCAGGUGCAAUUGCAAUUAACCAAAGACGUCUUGGAAAUUGAAUUCGCGCGAAAGCUUGUUCACCGAGGCAGAGCGUCGUCCAGAAAUCAAUCUGGCGAGUAUAAUACAGGGUGUCAUAAAGGAAGUAUUACUAUUUUGUUUAUAAAUCAAUUUCUAACGAAGCAGCA